UACGUAGGGGGCGAGCGUUGUCCGGAGUUACUGGGCGUAAAGCGCACGUAGGCGGAUCGUUAAGUCGGGGGUGAAAUCCUGGAGCUCAACUCCAGAACUGCCUUCGAUACUGGCGAUCUUGAGUCCGGAAGAGGUGAGUGGAACUCCUAGUGUAGAGGUGGAAUUCGUAGAUAUUAGGAAGAACACCAGUGGCGAAGGCGGCUCACUGGUCCGGUACUGACGCUGAGGUGCGAAAGCGUGGGGAGCAAACAGG
rnacentral:rRNA from 1 species